rnacentral:rRNA from 1 species
GAAUAACUCCCAACCCCUAUGUGAACGUUACCAAACUGUUGCCUCGGCGGGAUUUCUGCCCCGGGCGCGUUCGCAGCCCCGGACCAAGGCGCCCGCCGGAGGACCAAUUUACAAACUCUUUUGUAUAUCCCAUCGCGGAUUCUUUACAUUCUGAGCUUUCUCGGCGCUCCUAGCGAGCGUUUCGAAAAUGAAUCAAAACUUUCAACAACGGAUCUCUUGGUUCUGGCAUCGAUGAAGAACGCAGCGAAAUGCGAUAAGUAAUGUGAAUUGCAGAAUUCAGUGAAUCAUCGAAUCUUUGAACGCACAUUGCGCCCGCCAGUAUUCUGGCGGGCAUGCCUGUCCGAGCGUCAUUUCAACCCUCGAACCCCUCCGGGGGGUCGGCGUUGGGGAUCGGCACUUACCUGCCGGCCCCGAAAUACAGUGGCGGUCUCGCCGCAGCCUCUCCUGCGCAGUAGUUUGCACACUCGCACCGGGAGCGCGGCGCGUCCACGGCCGUAAAACAACCCAAACUUCUGAAAUGUU